rnacentral:lncRNA from 1 species
GGGCAAAAAUUGUUUAAAGUCCAAGCAAUCAGACUAUUACGGGGAUUACGUGGAGAGGGGGAAGGGGCGCGCAGCGCUUUGAGCAGAGCGAGGAAGGAAUUGCUGGAAGCAGCGAGGGGGGAAAUUGUCCAUCCUAGCGCUGUGCUCUGCUGCCACCUUGGCCGCGCCGCGGGACGUGCAGGCGGCCCCGCGGAGCUCGGGCUGCGCACCCGCGGAGCGCUCCCGCCCUGCCCGGCCUGCGGAGCCUCCCUCGGACAGCGCUACUGGCGGCCCCGCCCGCGGCACUGCCGUCACAAACUGGACAGGGAUAUUUGUGAUGUCCAAAGGCCUUAUCUUACACAUCUAAUGAAGAAAGCACUGAAAUUCCCAUUCACACACAUCUACCUGCCUCUCCAUCCUUCCUACAGCAUGACCACAGGGGCUCUGGAAGGACCUCCCGGAAUACCAGCUGCAGGCAGAGGUCGUGUGUUUCCCCCUCCUUUUUUUCCUUUUUUUUUUCCUUUUUUUUUUUUUUUUUUCUUGGGGGGAGGAAUGGGGGCAGAGAAGGGUGACAGAUAUGUCAUAAUGCACUGAAAAUAUAUAUAAAUGAAUACUAGGCAACCAAUAGAGUUUGUUAGUCGUGUUUCCCUGUUGUCUUGUUGUCUUGACAUCGGGCUCUGGGCUGGUGGUACACACUUUGGAAAGCUUUCAAGCACUUCAUUACUUCGUUUCAUCUUUGAAUUG